UGUUGAUGCUUGCAUUUCAAUUGAGGAUCGUGGGCUUGGCAGGAGGCUGUGUUAUUUUUACGAAUUCUUCAGCAAAAGGCUGAAUGUCUGUUGUGUCGCGGCUUGUUUGUUCUUCAACUUGCUGCGAUGAUUGUAGGCAAGGGACUGAACAAGUGGUGUGUGAUCCAAAACACCGAGAACACAAUGUAGCAACAUCCCGCGCUAGUGAGGAAGCCAAUCUCAGCAUACUUUCUUAUGUUUCUAUGACACGAGCUCCAAGUACCUAUUAGAUAGUGGAUAUAAGCCAAUGAGGAAGUCAAUAUCAACAUACUUUCUGAUAUAGGCCAGUGAUGGACCCAGCAACAAUCUUAACAAGCUCACCUCCUUAAUGAAUGUAACACUUCCAUUUCCUUAAUCACAUAAAGAUUUGUUAUAAACAAUAUAUGCAACAACGAAAGAUUAAGGAAUUAUGUAUGUUGAUUACAAUUCCUUGUAUGUAGAAAUUAUAUAAGCUUAACAUACGGAUUGUCGAAGCUUCCAGCAAGGAACUACCUAAUUAAGGUUCAGAGAUGAACAUUGGAUGUUGCACACAAGUAGUGUGCAAGUGCAACUACAUUAGUACCUAAGGAUCACUAAGCUAGUACCUAAGGACUACUAAGGUUGUACCUAAGGACUACUAAGGUUGUACCUAAGGUUAACUAAGGUAGUACCUAAGGUUAAUUAAGGUAGUACCUAAGGUACAAUCACUAGUAUAUGAAAGGAGAACCAACUGAGCACACUAAUUAGACACAUAAUGCCAUGAUCAGUUGAGUGUGGAACCGAAUAUGUUGUAAGUUAUGCAUGGAUCGAAAGUAGCUUGUGGGUCCUAUGCUUGACAAAUCAACUCCAUUGGGUUGAAAAAUAAGGGAACUAAUAUUCACAAAUGAAGUGUCUUAAUGUUCAGAAAUGUAGUUUCGAGGUAUCACACAGGUAGUACCUAAGGUGUGCUAAGAUAGUACCUAAUGUUGACUAAGGUAGUAGCUAAAGUUGAUUAAGGUAGUACCGAAGGUAUAUUUAAGUAGUACAUAAUUACUCAACAGUAGACAAAAGGUUAACCAACUGAUCACUGGAAUAAGACACGAUGUGCUAAGGUAGUACCUAAUAGCUUGCUCGGUUCUAUGCACAAUUGAGUAUGUUUAAUGGACGUAGCCCAUGCAAUGCCACUUAUUGGUCAUAUCUUUGAAAACGGACUGCAUAACAUUGAGAAAGGAAUUAGCUAAUGUUAACGAAUGAAGUAACUAAGGCUCACAUAUAUUUAAUAAUAUGUUGGACAUGUGAGUGAAACUUAUAGUAUCAAGUACAUUGAGUGCCAAAUAAUAUAGGAAAAUGGUACGCACAAGUGUAAUAUGUAAACAGAGGGAUGAAAAAUAAAUGUUUAUGUUCUUGUGUUUUUAUAACAACAUCCACGUCUAAAGCAUGCCAAAGUUGGUUUAAUAAUGUGUACUACUCAGUAAUGUUUGUUAAAGAAGAAGUACAAUUGGAGGAGUGACAAUGAAUUGUAGUAUAUGCUGAAGUGUCUUGGCUUCAUAGCUUGAAAUGGAAUUAAAACAAUAUCGGCUGCAUAAAGGAAGCAAGAAAGAGAUCAAAUGGUAUUUUUGUACAUGAAACACUAAAAUCUCGUUGGCUCGCCACUGUAUACAGAUAUAGGAAUUGAACAUCACACUGCCAAGUAGCUUUCCAUAAUUGAAUUUUUAUGCCAUCACUAAUUGAGAACUAAGUGAAAAGGGUGAAAUCACAAAAUACCUAUGUAAGGACCUUCCAAGGGCACCCAUAUGACUACCUAACAAUAGCAUUAGAGUGUAGGCCAUAAAUAGAAAAGAUGAUAUUGUUCCAUAAAGUAUUGUUGUCCUUAAGGAGCCUCCAUAAUAACUUUUGUAAUAGGGCUCUAUUCUUGAAGGAGCCUCCAUAAAUACUAAAGAUGAUAUUAUGUCAUAAUUCUAUAGUGCCUAUUCAUUUUGUUAUCCAUAAAUCCUUAACCCAAAAACCAUAUUCAAUAACAGGAACACGGAAUACCACUUCUAAGCUUUUCAUUUCUGGAACUUAAAGUUUGUGGAACCUCAUCUCAUGCACCCAAAUGAUAUCGAUCAGUGAAUCAUGAAGAGAUUAUGAAUACCAAUGUUUCAUAUUCAAGAAUUCCUAAUUACAAUUUCAAUAUGCCUAAUUACAGUCUGUAUAAAAUCAGUAUCAAUACAUGUUAGUUACAUAAUUUAUAAAUGACAAUCAACUGUCGAAGACUCAUUUUGCCAAUAAUUUUUUUCACUCUAUCAUUUAAGUGAUGAAAAUAUGUAAUAAAAAUUUUAAAGUGAAAUAAGGAUCAUACAUGGAUGAAAUGUAUUAAUAUGAGAAACAUCAAGUUCUAUUACACAAAGACUGGUUGUGAGUAAAUACAUACAUUUGACUACUUAUUGUCCCGUACCAAAUGUUUCGAAGAAAAAACUUUCAAUUUUAUAAUUUUCAUGACUCGUUAACAUUUUCAAAAUGAAAAGUUCACUAAACAUGUAAUUUCUAAUAAAAUAAAGAGCAUUUAUACACAAAGUAGAUAACAAACUAGCAUUACAUAAAACUAAAUACACAAAUCCUCUCAAACAACUUUUUCAUUUCUUAAAGAACAAUAAUAACGAAAUGAAUCAAUCCUAAGCCUCAACUUUUUCCUUUUCCGUAUCAACCACAUAGCAUUGAGUAAACUCAUUAUUUAUAAUUCAAUUCAAUCAUUAAAGCUCUCAAUGAACCCUCUCAUAGAUCCAAAACCCAAUUCAACAUUUAAUUCCAAUUUUCCAAUGUAGAAGCAAAGAACUUAUUAUGUAUCUUACCACUUAUUAAAGCUUUCUUUGUGCAAGCUUCAAACCCAAUGUUCUCUUUUUGGUAGGUGUUGUGGGUUUUACCAAGAGUCCCAAAGGAUGAGGUUAUCCUAUGAAGUUUAAUAAUAAUUUGUUUAUUUUUCUAGGUGGGAUUCAACAAAAUUGAGGGAAUGAGAGCUAAGAUGAAUGAGGAAAGGGUUGUGUGUUUGGCCAUUAGAGAGUAGAAAAUAAAAGGGAAGAAUAAAUUUGAGAGGUCAUGGAAAAAAAUGUACAAUAAAAAACAAAAGGGCUAUGCAAUAAGAAUCAAUAAAACAUAGACACCCACUUCCUCCUUCUCGAUUGUUUAUAUUCUGCUUACUAUCAUUAUAUUUUUUUCCUGUUUCUUUGCCUUGUUUUGCCUCUUCAUGAUUUUCUUCAUUUGCUUAUUUUGGUGAUACUUUAUUAUCUCAAUAUCAUUCCUUUCAUUCCCUUCAAUCCCUUUUAUUGCGGUUUUUCAGCUUGUGUGUUUUAUAGAGUUUCAACUUUAAACUGCCUUUCUAGAGAUGCGGAGAGAAAAGGCUCAAAUGCGGUGUAUAGAAAACUCCACAAGUCACCAACUCACCUUUUGUAAGUGAUGUUGAGGUUGCCCUCAUCAUUUUCUCUCGAAGAGGGAAGCUUUAUGAAUUUUCCAGUUCUAAGUAUGUUUUCCUUACUUCUUUCUUCUCCUAUUAAAAACAUUAAUAUCGAAUCCAUCAUUGCAAUCUCCAAACUACUUUCUCUUACUAUUUCGUUUCCAAUUCAUAAAUAUGACUACUAAUAACGAAUGGCAAGCACACUAAUGUCUCUAUGAGUCUCAUAUUAGGGAAGUACUCUCCCUUGUUCACUCAAUUUCAAUCAGAUCUCAUAUGCACUUUUUACAGCUAAUUCAAUCGUCUUACACGUUUCUUUCCUUCUCUAGUAAAAUUCCCUUGUAAGUUUUUUUCCUUUCCUUCUCUCUAUUCACACAAAAAAAUAAAUAAAUAAACAAUUACCAAAAAAACACUUAAUCCAAAACAAUUUUCAAAAGAGCAUUACCACAAUUACUUAAUGUGCCUGAUGAGGUUUUCUCUACUUGCUUCUUUCUCUUCUCCAAUUUUCUACACAUCAUUUUUUGCUACACCAAGUCUUAACAAUACCAUCACCACAAUUCUUAACACAUAUAUGACUAAUUCAUUUUCUUCUAAACCACUGAUACAACAAGGUUUUCCACUCUUAACAAUAGAAAUAAAAAGUUAUACUGACCUUGGUUUGAUUUAUCAAUACGAUUAAUACAUACAGGUGGGCAGUAGUUGGAACUUGGAUAAAGGUCAUCCUUUGUGUUAUAUAAACCAUACAUAGUCACUCUCGUCUCAUCCUCCCAAAAGAAAAAGAGACAGAGCCCUGUUGCAUUAAACCCUUCAUAAUGCCUAUGUUUACAUCUGUUAUUGAGUUUGAAAAACACAGUAGCAUUUGACAAAAACUAAAAUAAAAUAACUAUUGUCCCAAAUAUAAAGACUUACAAAUGUAACCUAUAAAAAUGAAUACCAAUUCUCAUCUCAAUAAGAUGAAGGCAUGAACUUUUUUAAUUUUCAUGCUUCUAAGAUCCCCAAUCAAGCACAUAUACAUCUCAAAACAAAGAAAUCAACUUCCUAAAAUUGAAUAAGAAAGUAUGAAAGACACCUAUAAAUCUUCAAACUUUAGGGCAUUAUAGAUCAGAGAAGCCCUAGAACACAAAGAAAGUUUCAUAACAAGAGACUGGCCUCUCAAUUAAAAAGAAUAGAACAAAAAUUCCAUGAUGAUUCACAUUUGAAAACUUGGUUUGCUUGAAAUCCUAAAACGGUCUCCUAGAUUCAACUUCGAUCAUCAAAUCAAGCAACCCACUUCCUAAAAACCAAUGACAUACAAAAACAAAUUCAAAUUUUGAACAACCCAAAUUUCUGAGUUUGCUCUGCAAUAGGAAAGGGGAAAAAAAUACUCAAAUUGAUAAGCAUACUCAUCAGAAAUACAAAUCCAAUUAAAUAAACACUUUAAAUUGCAAAAAACUUUGCUCCAUAAAUCAUUCUCUUCUUGUUGUAAAAACCUAGUCACCAAAAUUUGAGUUGUAGCUAGUUGAGAAAAAAGCCAGACAAAAAAAAGAUUUGAGUGAAUGUGAAUGUGAAUGUAAGAGAAAGUAGGAAUGGGUUACCUCAAGAGAGAAAAUCGAAGGCUUCAGCCCCACAAAAUCGAGUCCCUCUAUCACUCACUCCUCUCAAUGUCUAGCAAAAACGCCCCUUUCUCACCCUAAAACACUCACUAUAUGUGUCCGCAAAUCUUAGAGAAAAAAAAUGGUAUGAU
rnacentral:lncRNA from 1 species